UCGUUUGUCGGCAGCGGAUAUGACUAUCCAAGAGAGACAUCCCUUCAUCAUACCUAAGAAUCAUCACAUCUCUCUUCUUCUGGUAAGACACUAUCACGAGCAAGUUGCACAUCAAGGACGACACUUCACUGAAGGAGCAGUACGGUCAGCAGGAUUGUGGAUCAUAGGAGGCAAGAGACUAGCCUCCAGCGUGAUCAUCCAAUGCGUUACCUGUAAGAAGAUUAGAGGGAAACUUGAGAUUCAGAAGAUGUCAAACUUACCUGCAGACAGACUUGCUUCAGAUCCUCCAUUCACUCACGUAGGUCUAGACGUUUUUGGACCAUGGAACAUCUCUUCUCGCAAGACUAGAGGAGGCAGUGCCGAAAGUAAACGUUGGGCUGUUCUGUUCUCUUGCCUGAGUACUAGAGCAGUUCAUAUUGAAGUGAUUGAAUCUUUAUCCACUUCAAGUUUCAUCAAUGCCUUGAGAAGAUUCUUCUCUAUCAGAGGACCAGCGAAAUUGAUUCGUUCAGACCGCGGCACAAACUUUAUUGGGGCCUGCAAGGAGUUGAAAAUCAUCUCUACAGACUCUGAAACAGGUUCCUAUCUUCAAGAUCAAGGAUGCACUUGGACUUUUAAUCCUCCACACGCAUUGCAUAUGGGAGGAGCAUGGGAGAGGAUGAUUGGAGUAGCUCGUCGUAUUCUGGAUGCCAUGCUCCUGAAGGUUGGGUCUACUCGCCUCACUCAUGAAGCUUUGACUACACUAAUGGCUGAAGUCGUGGCCAUUAUGAACGCCAGACCUUUGGUUCCAGUGUCUACAGAUCCAGAGAUGCCAUCAGUCUUGACACCCGCAAUGCUGCUGACCCAGAAGAUGGAACCAGUGACAGCUCCCACUGGAGACUUUGACCUCAAGGACUUGUAUAUUAAGCAAUGGAGACAAGUUCAAAGCCUUGCAGACAUUUUCUGGAAGAGGUGGAGACAGGAAUACCUGGUGACACUCCAGCCACGCAAGAAAUGGCAAGAUGACAAACCCAACUUACAAGUUGGAGACAUUGUCUUAUUAAAAGACACUCAGGCCCACAGGAACGAAUGGCCUAUUGGACUCAUUGUGGGGACUGAUCCUAGUGGUGAUGCUAGAGUUAGAAAAGUUGAAGUUAGAAUUGUUAGACAGGACAUUCCCAAGGUGUAUGCUAUGCCAAUUUCUGAAGUAGUUUUACUUCUGUCCAAAGGUUAGUGGCAUAACAAAAGGUACGCCAGGUGGGGAGUGUGCUGCCUUUGCAAUGUAUAUUACAUGCUUGGCACUCAGUAGUGUCUGUUUCUUUAAGACCCUCCAUUUUCUUGAAGCCUAGAGGCGGGUCUUCUCUGUACUGUCUAGGGCUUGCUGGGACAUAUCCUGUUCAUUCCAGCUCUAGCUACUGUAGUGACCAGAUCCACAGGACAUCUUAAAGCUAUUACAGAUUGCAAACCUGACGAACACCAAAGCCUAAGAUCGUGCGGCAGUUGGCCUAUAAAAUGUGGAGCAAAAUGGGUCGCACACACCACCGUCUGGCCAUUUAAAAAAAAAUGGGCAGACAUGAAUAGAAGGCAGCCCUGUUUCAUUAAAAGAAUCCUUGAUGAAAAAUGCCCAGACGUUCCUAUUCCCUCCAAUCGGAAAAGGCGACCGGUGGAGGUUGUGGAGGUAGAGGAGGAAGAGGAGGUGGACCCUCCCAGCCUAUUGAGCCACCACCACCAGAUGUGGGAGAAGUGAAGGAGGUGGAAAGUGCUGUACCCUCCAGCACCACCCCAUCUCAGGACUCGGAGGAAGAGGAAAUGAUCACCAGCCCCCGGCAGGAGGGAAUGAAGACAUUGAAGGCCAAAUUGGCCAAACUGGAAAGGGCGCAUCUCCAGGAUAUGCGGGCCGUUCAUGAGCGCUUGAAGGGCAUGGAGGAGAGGCAACGCAAGGCCAUGAAGGAGGUCCAUGAGAUUAUCAUGCUUUUGGAGAAAUUGCCUUAAUUAAAAAAGUAUUUUUCUACUAAGUUAUAUAAAUCGUUUGUACAGUUA